rnacentral:rRNA from 1 species
GGAAUCUUAGACAAUGGGCGAAAGCCUGAUCUAGCCAUGCCGCGUGAGUGAUGAAGGCCCUAGGGUCGUAAAGCUCUUUCGCCAGGGAUGAUAAUGACAGUACCUGGUAAAGAAACCCCGGCUAACUCCGUGCCAGCAGCCGCGGUAAUACGGGGGGGGCAAGCGUUGUUCGGAAUUACUGGGCGUAAAGGGCUCGUAGGCGGCCAACUAAGUCGGAUGUGAAAUCCCCAGGCUCAACCUGGGAACUGCAUCCGAUACUGGAUGGCUUGAAUUCGGGAGAGGGAUGCAGAAUUCCAGGUGUAGCGGUGAAAUGCGUAGAUAUCUGGAGGAAUACCGGUGGCGAAGGCGGCAUCCUGGACCGACAUUGACGCUGAGGAGCGAAAGCUAGGGGAGCAAAC